UACGUAGGGUGCAAGCGUUGUCCGGAUUUACUGGGCGUAAAGAGCGCGCAGGCGGUCGUUCAAGUCGCGUGUGAAAGCCCCCGGCUCAACUGGGGAGGGUCACGCGAUACUGAUCGACUCGAAGGCAGGAGAGGGAAGUGGAAUUCCCGGUGUAGUGGUGAAAUGCGUAGAUAUCGGGAGGAACCCCAGUGGCGAAGGCGACUUCCUGGCCUGUUCUUGACGCUGAGGCGCGAAAGCUAGGGGAGCAAACGGG
rnacentral:rRNA from 1 species